rnacentral:rRNA from 1 species
CAGUCGCCGCGGUAAUACAGAGGGUGCAAGCGUUAAUCGGAAUUACUGGGCGUAAAGCGCGCGUAGGUGGUUUGUUAAGUUGGAUGUGAAAUCCCCGGGCUCAACCUGGGAACUGCAUCCAAAACUGUCAAGCUAGAGUAUGGUAGAGGGUGGUGGAAUUUCCUGUGUAGCGGUGAAAUGCGUAGAUAUAGGAAGGAACACCAGUGGCGAAGGCGACCACCUGGACUGAUACUGACACUGAGGUGCGAAAGCGUGGGGAGCAAACAGGAUUAGAUACCCCUGUAGUCCCUGUCUCUUAUAC